rnacentral:rRNA from 1 species
AUGGAAUCCGUAACCAUCGUCCAGGCUCAGCCGUUCGCUGGGAUAAACUCCCCGCUGCUGUUGGAUGAGGGCCGGCCUGGUACACCGGACAGAGAUACUACAAGCAUGCCUCAGCCUUGUUCGACUUCGACAUCCGAGUGUGCCGACGAAUCGAAGCCUGCUUUGGGGAUGACAUUCGAAGGCUUGGAGGCCGUGGAAGCGUUCUACAAGUCGUUCGCACACCGCGUUGGUUUCGGGGUUCGUGUCGGGCAGCAGAAGGUGGUGGACAAUGUGGUUGAGAGCAAGCGCUAUAUGUGCUCAAGCCAAGGGUUCAGGUCGGAGAAGGGUAAAAGGAAUGUUAAAGCCGCGAAUAAGAAGCGCAAGAGGGAGGUCACCAGAUGUGGCUGCGAUGCGCAUAUCUACGUCAAGCGCUGUAGCGGUAACACCUACAAGAUUCACUCAAUGAUUGAGCAACACAAUCAUGGCUUUGUGCCACCUGAUAAGCUUCAUUUGAUUAGAUCAAACCGUGGAGCUAGCGAGAAGGAAAAGGUUAUACCCGAUUGCGAUGAGGCGUUGAGGCCGUCGAUAGGGAUGGCAUUUGAAGGCCUCAGCUCUGCGGAGGAGUUCUACAAAUCAUAUGCGCGCCAUUGCGGGUUUAAGGUGCGUGUUGGCCAGCAUAAGUUGCUGAAUAAGGAGGUAGUACAAUUCAAGCGCUUCAUGUGCUCAAGGGAAGGCUUCAGGUCCGACAAAGGUGAAGAUCCCUCUAAUGAGAAAAAGAAGCGAAAUGUGAAAGUGACUAGAUGUGGAUGUAAUGCCCAUAUUGUUGUGAGGUGGUGCAGUGGUAACACAUAUAAAGUAUCAUCAUUGAUCGAGCACCACAAUCAUGGACUUGUUUCACCUGAUAAAGUGACUAAAUCAAAGCGAAGAGUUAGUGAGAAGGCAAAGAAUAAACUAAGCUCUUCACUCGUGCCUGAAUGUGACGAGGCAAUGAAGCCAUCAGUAGGGAUGGUAUUUGAAGACAUUGGUUCUGUGGAGGAGUUUUACAAGUCAUAUGCACAUCACUGUGGGUUUUCAGUACGUGUUGGGCAGCGUAAGUUGCUGAAUAACGAGGUGGUGCAAUGGAAGCGCUUCAUGUGCUCAAGGGAAGGUUUCAGGUCCGAGAAAUGUAUGGGCGUUGAUGAUCCCUCUAGGAAGAGAAAGGUACGAAAGGUAACCAGAUGUGGGUGUGAUGCUCGUAUUAUUGUGAAGCGGUGCACUGAUAACAAGUAUAAAAUUACAUCAUGGAUCGAGCACCACAAUCAUGGAUUUGUGUCGCCUGAUAAGUGUCACUUGAUUAGAUCGAAUCGUCAAUUGAGUGACAAGGCGAAGCCAACAGUAUCCACACACUGCAAAGCAAGCACAUGCACCUCCCAGGCAAACCAGCCUGAUCAUGUCAGUGAGGGGAGGUCCGACAAUGUGGGAUGCACAAAGAGAGACUUGCAGAAAUACCAUCAUGAUCUUUGUAGUAAAAUUAAGAAUGAAGAUGCUCAGAUAUUUGUGGCCCAGCUAUGUAGAAAGCAGCAAGAGGAUUCAGCAUUUUUCUUUGACUGUGAUGUGGAUGACCAGGGUAUGUUGGUGCAUGUAUUUUGGGCUGAUGCCACAAGCAGGAAAAACUACAUUUAUUUCAGUGAUAUUUUAACCUUUGAUUCUACAAACACAAUGAAUCAACACGGCAUGAUUUUUGCACCAUUUACUGGAACCAAUCAUCAUCUGCAAAGUGUGUCUUUCGGUGCUGCAUUCCUAGCUGAUGAGAAGAUUGAGUCAUAUGCCUGGCUGUUUCAGACCUUCCUAAGGGCAAUGGGAGGGGUCUCUCCUAAAACUAUUGUAACUAGGGAAAAUAAUAGGAUGAAGGCUGCGAUCAGUAAUGUUCUACCAGCCACCACCCAUAGGUUGUGCAUGUUGGAGAUGUUGGGAAGAAUGCCUGAGAAGGUUGAACCAUCUCUUAGAAACAACCCUCUAUUUCAGACAAGGAUGAACGAAUGUGUUUUGGGGUCAGAAACUGUGGUUGAGUUUGAGUCAAAAUGGGAGUCUAUAAUUUCCGACUUUGGGUUGCAGGGCAAUCAGUGGCUGGCUGAAAGGUAUUCCACCCGUGAAAGAUGGAUUCUGGCCUACUCGACGGAUGUCCAUCUGUCAGGCAUUCUCAGAAGCACUGCAUGGUCAAAGAGCGCAAAGUCAUUUUUCAACUGUUUCAUCAACCAGAAGCUCUCUUUGGUUGAGUUUUGGCUUAGGUUUGAAGCAGCCUUAGAGUGUCAACGUCAAGAGGAAUCGAAUGCAGAUCACACGAGCGCCUAUACGACGCCUCAACUGAUAACACCAUGGGGAUUGGAGAAGCAUGGAAGUGUAGUGUUCACACAUGAGGUGUUUGAGAGAUUCCAAGAAGAGAUUGUCGCUGCUAGAGACCAUUGCGUUGUCGAAGACAUGGCACAAAACGAGGGGGUGAAAACUGUGGCCAUCGGUGGUGACGACUCCGACAAAGUUAGGGAGGUGCGUUGGGACGCAGUCGCCAUGACGGCCAACUGCUCCUGCAAGCUAUUUGAGUCGGUAGGAAUCCCGUGCCGCCAUAUUAACCUAGUGCUGAGAAGCUCAGAACUGAAUGAGCUACCGAGUAGUUGUGUUUUGAAAAGAUGGCAAAAGAGUGCAAAAUUUGGGUAA